GGUUAAGCGACUAAGCGUACACGGUGGAUGCCCUGGCAGUCAGAGGCGAUGAAGGACGUGCUAAUCUGCGAUAAGCGUCGGUAAGGUGAUAUGAACCGUUAUAACCGGCGAUUUCCGAAUGGGGAAACCCAGUGUGUUUCGACACACUAUCAUUAACUGAAUCCAUAGGUUAAUGAGGCGAACCGGGGGAACUGAAACAUCUAAGUACCCCGAGGAAAAGAAAUCAACCGAGAUUCCCCCAGUAGCGGCGAGCGAACGGGGAGCAGCCCAGAGCCUGAAUCAGUGUGUGUGUUAGUGGAAGCGUCUGGAAAGGCGCGCGAUACAGGGUGACAGCCCCGUACACAAAAAUGCACAUGCUGUGAGCUCGAUGAGUAGGGCGGGACACGUGGUAUCCUGUCUGAAUAUGGGGGGACCAUCCUCCAAGGCUAAAUACUCCUGACUGACCGAUAGUGAACCAGUACCGUGAGGGAAAGGCGAAAAGAACCCCGGCGAGGGGAGUGAAAAAGAACCUGAAACCGUGUACGUACAAGCAGUGGGAGCACGCUUAGGCGUGUGACUGCGUACCUUUUGUAUAAUGGGUCAGCGACUUAUAUUCUGUAGCAAGGUUAACCGAAUAGGGGAGCCGAAGGGAAACCGAGUCUUAACUGGGCGUUAAGUUGCAGGGUAUAGACCCGAAACCCGGUGAUCUAGCCAUGGGCAGGUUGAAGGUUGGGUAACACUAACUGGAGGACCGAACCGACUAAUGUUGAAAAAUUAGCGGAUGACUUGUGGCUGGGGGUGAAAGGCCAAUCAAACCGGGAGAUAGCUGGUUCUCCCCGAAAGCUAUUUAGGUAGCGCCUCGUGAAUUCAUCUCCGGGGGUAGAGCACUGUUUCGGCAAGGGGGUCAUCCCGACUUACCAACCCGAUGCAAACUGCGAAUACCGGAGAAUGUUAUCACGGGAGACACACGGCGGGUGCUAACGUCCGUCGUGAAGAGGGAAACAACCCAGACCGCCAGCUAAGGUCCCAAAGUCAUGGUUAAGUGGGAAACGAUGUGGGAAGGCCCAGACAGCCAGGAUGUUGGCUUAGAAGCAGCCAUCAUUUAAAGAAAGCGUAAUAGCUCACUGGUCGAGUCGGCCUGCGCGGAAGAUGUAACGGGGCUAAACCAUGCACCGAAGCUGCGGCAGCGACACUAUGUGUUGUUGGGUAGGGGAGCGUUCUGUAAGCCUGUGAAGGUGUACUGUGAGGUAUGCUGGAGGUAUCAGAAGUGCGAAUGCUGACAUAAGUAACGAUAAAGCGGGUGAAAAGCCCGCUCGCCGGAAGACCAAGGGUUCCUGUCCAACGUUAAUCGGGGCAGGGUGAGUCGACCCCUAAGGCGAGGCCGAAAGGCGUAGUCGAUGGGAAACAGGUUAAUAUUCCUGUACUUGGUGUUACUGCGAAGGGGGGACGGAGAAGGCUAUGUUGGCCGGGCGACGGUUGUCCCGGUUUAAGCGUGUAGGCUGGUUUUCCAGGCAAAUCCGGAAAAUCAAGGCUGAGGCGUGAUGACGAGGCACUACGGUGCUGAAGCAACAAAUGCCCUGCUUCCAGGAAAAGCCUCUAAGCAUCAGGUAACAUCAAAUCGUACCCCAAACCGACACAGGUGGUCAGGUAGAGAAUACCAAGGCGCUUGAGAGAACUCGGGUGAAGGAACUAGGCAAAAUGGUGCCGUAACUUCGGGAGAAGGCACGCUGAUAUGUAGGUGAAGUCCCUCGCGGAUGGAGCUGAAAUCAGUCGAAGAUACCAGCUGGCUGCAACUGUUUAUUAAAAACACAGCACUGUGCAAACACGAAAGUGGACGUAUACGGUGUGACGCCUGCCCGGUGCCGGAAGGUUAAUUGAUGGGGUUAGCGCAAGCGAAGCUCUUGAUCGAAGCCCCGGUAAACGGCGGCCGUAACUAUAACGGUCCUAAGGUAGCGAAAUUCCUUGUCGGGUAAGUUCCGACCUGCACGAAUGGCGUAAUGAUGGCCAGGCUGUCUCCACCCGAGACUCAGUGAAAUUGAACUCGCUGUGAAGAUGCAGUGUACCCGCGGCAAGACGGAAAGACCCCGUGAACCUUUACUAUAGCUUGACACUGAACAUUGAGCCUUGAUGUGUAGGAUAGGUGGGAGGCUUUGAAGUGUGGACGCCAGUCUGCAUGGAGCCGACCUUGAAAUACCACCCUUUAAUGUUUGAUGUUCUAACGUUGACCCGUAAUCCGGGUUGCGGACAGUGUCUGGUGGGUAGUUUGACUGGGGCGGUCUCCUCCUAAAGAGUAACGGAGGAGCACGAAGGUUGGCUAAUCCUGGUCGGACAUCAGGAGGUUAGUGCAAUGGCAUAAGCCAGCUUGACUGCGAGCGUGACGGCGCGAGCAGGUGCGAAAGCAGGUCAUAGUGAUCCGGUGGUUCUGAAUGGAAGGGCCAUCGCUCAACGGAUAAAAGGUACUCCGGGGAUAACAGGCUGAUACCGCCCAAGAGUUCAUAUCGACGGCGGUGUUUGGCACCUCGAUGUCGGCUCAUCACAUCCUGGGGCUGAAGUAGGUCCCAAGGGUAUGGCUGUUCGCCAUUUAAAGUGGUACGCGAGCUGGGUUUAGAACGUCGUGAGACAGUUCGGUCCCUAUCUGCCGUGGGCGCUGGAGAACUGAGGGGGGCUGCUCCUAGUACGAGAGGACCGGAGUGGACGCAUCACUGGUGUUCGGGUUGUCAUGCCAAUGGCACUGCCCGGUAGCUAAAUGCGGAAGAGAUAAGUGCUGAAAGCAUCUAAGCACGAAACUUGCCCCGAGAUGAGUUCUCCCUGACUCCUUGAGAGUCCUGAAGGAACGUUGAAGACGACGACGUUGAUAGGCCGGGUGUGUAAGCGCAGCGAUGCGUUGAGCUAACCGGUACUAAUGAACCGUGAGGCUUAACCUU
rnacentral:rRNA from 1 species